ACUGUAGGUGAAAGCUUACAUCUCUUCGAGCAUUUUACGAGGUGCUGCAUGGUUGUCGUCAGCUCGUGCCGUGAGGUGUCGGGUUAAGUCCCAUAACGAGCGCAACCCCUACCUUUAGUUGCCAUCAGGUAAUGCUGGGGACUCUAAAGGAACUGCCUACGCAAGUAGUGAGGAAGGCGGGGAUGACGUCAAAUCAGCACGGCCCUUACGUCCAGGGCUACACACGUGCUACAAUGGCCGAUACAGAGGGCAGCUACCUGGUGACAGGAUGCAAAUCUCCAAAGUCGGUCUCAGUUCGGAUCGGAGUCUGCAACCCGACUCCGUGAAGUUGGAUUCGCUAGUAAUCGCGCAUCAGCCAUGGCGCGGUGAAUACGUUCCCGGGCCUU
rnacentral:rRNA from 1 species